CAGCUGUAGGGUCAGAUUGGACCCCUGGUUAGACCCCAAACAGCUGUAGGGUCAGAUUGGACCCCCUGGUUUGACCCCAAACAGCUGUAGGGUCAGAUUGGACCCCCUGGUUUGACCCCAAACAGCUGUAGGGUCAGAUUGGACCCCCUGGUUUGACCCCAAACAGCUGUAGGGUCAGAUUAGACCCCCUGGUUAGACUCCAAACAGCUGUAGGGUCAGAUUAGACCCCCUGGUUUGACUCCAAACAGCUGUAGGGUCAGAUUGGACCCCCUGGUUUGACCCCAAACAGCUGUAGGGUCAGAUUGGACCCCCUGGUUUGACCCCAAACAGCUGUAGGGUCAGAUUGGACCCCCUGGUUUGACCCCAAACAGCUGUAGGGUCAGAUUAGACCCCCUGGUUUGACCCCAAACAGCUGUAGGGUCAGAUUAGACCCCCUGGUUAGACUCCAAACAGCUGUAGGGUCAGAUUAGACCCCCUGGUUAGACUCCAAACAGCUGUAGGAUCAGAUUGGACCCCCUGGUUUGACCCCAAACAGCUGUAGGGUCAGAUUGGACCCCUGGUU